UACGUAGGUGGCAAGCGUUGUCCGGAUUUAUUGGGUUUAAAGGGUGCGUAGGCGGCUCUGUAAGUCAGUGGUGAAAUAUGGCAGCUCAACUGUCAGGGGGCCAUUGAUACUGCAGAGCUUGAGUACAGAUGAGGUAGGCGGAAUUGACGGUGUAGCGGUGAAAUGCUUAGAUAUCGUCAAGAACACCGAUAGCGAAAGCAGCUUACUGGGCUGGAACUGACGCUGAGGCACGAAAGUGUGGGGAUCAAACAGG
rnacentral:rRNA from 1 species